GAUGAACGCUAGCGGCAGGCUUAACACAUGCAAGUCGAGGGGUAUAGUUCUUCGGAGCUAGAGACCGGCGCACGGGUGCGUAACGCGUAUGCAAUCUACCUUUUGCAGAGGGAUAGCCCAGAGAAAUUUGGAUUAAUACCUCAUGGUAUGUGAGAAUGGCAUCAUUUUCACAUUAAAGUCACAACGGCAAAAGAUGAGCAUGCGUCCCAUUAGCUAGUUGGUAAGGUAACGGCUUACCAAGGCAACGAUGGGUAGGGGUCCUGAGAGGGAGAGCGCCCACACUGGAACUGAGACACGAACCAGACUCCUACGGGAGGCAGCAGUGAGGAAUAUUGGACAAUGGGCGCAAGCCUGAUCCAGCCAUGCCGCGUGCAGGAUGACGGUCCUAUGGAUUGUAAACUGCUUUUGUACAGGAAGAAACACUGGUUCGUGAACCAGCUUGACGGUACUGUAAGAAUAAGGAUCGGCUAACUCCGUGCCAGCAGCCGCAGUAAAAC
rnacentral:rRNA from 1 species